CUUCCUCUUUCUCUUUCUUCUUCUUCUUCUUCUUCUUCUUCUGUUUUCUUCUUCUCUUUUCUUCUUCUCGUCCUUCGCCUGUUGGUGAAUUAGGAAUCUGAAUUAGAGAUUCUGUGAUCAAGAGAAGCAGGGAACAAUCGAGUGUUAGUUGAUGAUGGUGGUUGAUUAUCCUGGUGAACUCAAAUCAACAGACAAGAUAGAGACAUAAAAGUUGUGGAAGAAUGAUGAACCGAAGUUCAUGGUGCUGCUACUAUUCAGGUUCAGGGUUUGAAGAUAAAGAAGAACAUGGAUUUGAAGCAUAUAGAAUGGUUUUGUCUGUGUGUUUGUGACUGCAAUUGUUGGAAAUUGAAUUGUUGGUGAACUGUAGUGGUGCAGCUGGAGUUAGAGACUGUUGUGUUGGUGGGUUGCAGUGGUAGUUGAGGUGGAGAUUCAAGAUUGAGUGAGCAGUGAUGCCUGUAAUGAAGUUUCUGAACUGGUGUUGGUGUUAGUUACAUAGAAUUGUGUUGGCUGUAGUGAAAUGAGAAAGGAAAUGGUAUUGGUGGAAUGAUUUGUAGGAUGCAACUGCUAUAGUUGGGUGGUGCUGAGGUACAAUGAUAGUUGACUGAAUCAGUAGAGAUUCAGAUUUAGCAUGCAGUGUUAUGAUGAAGUGGAUGGGCAGUGCUUCUUGAGAAGAGGUGUUGAAUGUUUGGUUAGGGAUUGAUUGCAGGUACAAUAGUUUGGAUAGUGAGUAAAACUGAAGUACUCAGUUUUGUAAGAAGUUAGAGGGUAUGAAUGUGAAGAAGAUAUGGCAGAGGAACAGUGUUAUUUGAGUUGCAACUUAGACGCAUGAAUUAGGAGAUUCGUGACUGUUGUAAGUGAAGUGAGAUAAAAAAAGGAUAGUUGUAAUGUUGUAGUGGCAGUGGCCUUAGUGGAAGCUUGCAAUAGCUGAUUCAAAAGUAAACUGAAUUGUAUUUGGAAAUGAAUUAUAGAGUUUGUCUUCAAUGAAGAAAUUGUGUAUUGUUGUAAUG